GUAGUCCACGCCCUAAACGAUGUCAACUGGUUGUCGGGGAAGUAAUUCCUUGGUAACGAAGCUAACGCGUGAAGUUGACCGCCUGGGGAGUACGGCCGCAAGGCUAAAACUCAAAGGAAUUGACGGGGACCCGCACAAGCGGUGGAUUAUGUGGAUUAAUUCGAUGCAACGCGAAAAACCUUACCUACCCUUGACAUGUGCGGAAGCCUCCAGAGAUGGAGGUGUGCCCGAAAGGGAACCGCAACACAGGUGCUGCAUGGCUGUCGUCAGCUCGUGUCGUGAGAUGUUGGGUUAAGUCCCGCAACGAGCGCAACCCUUGCCAUUAGUUGCUACAUUCAGUUGGGCACUCUAGUGGGACUGCCGGUGACAAACCGGA
rnacentral:rRNA from 1 species